AAUAACAUCUCUGAACAGGUUGAUUGGGGAAAAAAAAUAGAUCAGUAAUUGAGAGGAGGGUCAUCUUGUGGUUCAGUGGUAGUGUCCCUACUCCUGGAGGGAGAGGCCUGCAUUCAAGUCCUACCUGCUCCAGUGGUCUCCACACACAGAGUGAGCAGAAGAGGAUUAGUCUGGUGUACUGGGAUCUGACUUGGGUAAUUAAUGUGGCAGCAUGCAAGAAGAAUAUAUUUUGCAUUGGGAGGUUUUUCACUGAAAGUGUCACAUCUCACUGGAUAUAAAUUAUUUCAAAAUUAUAUUCAGAACAUUAAUAUCCAAGUCAUCGAUAUGUAUCAAAAACAGCAGAAGUCCUAGCACUGAAACCUAAGAUCUCUCUAUGCCUGGAUGACUUUAUGAAAAAUGCCAGGCCCACAGAAAAUGAAGACCAUUAAGGAGUUUUCCACACUGAGGUUUCCAGCAUCCGCAGUAUUCUAUUUUUGAUUGUGAUUUCACUUACCUUCAUUUCAUUAUGAAUGGUCACUAGAGUGAAUAUCCCUGCAACUUUUUACAGUG